AUUGAACGCUGGCGGCAUGCCUUACACAUGCAAGUCGAACGGUAACAGGUCUUCGGAUGCUGACGAGUGGCGAACGGGUGAUUAAUACAUCGGAACGUACCUUUUGGUUCGGAAUAACGCAGAGAAAUUUGCGCUAAUACCGAAUGAGCCCCUAGGGGGACAGAUUUAUCGCCGAAAGAUCGGCCCGCGUUGGUUUAGGUAGUUGGUGUGGUAACGGCUCAGCAAGGCGACGACGGGUAGCCGGCCGGAGAGGGCGACCGGCCACACUGGGACUGAGACACGGCCCAGACUCCUACGGGAGGCAGCAGUGGGGAAUAUUGCGCAAUGGGCGAAAGCCUGACGCAGCAACGCCGCGUGAGGGAUGACGGCCUUCGGGUUGUAAACCUCUUUCAGCAGGGAAGAAGCGAAAGUGACGGUACCUGCAGAAGAAGCACCGGCUAACUACGUGCCAGCCGCCGCAGUAAAAC
rnacentral:rRNA from 1 species